AGGGUGUAAACGCUGCGGGCUUGGUGUUGGGGGUCCUUUGAGGGCGCCCAGUGCCGGAGAGAAGUUGUUAAGCCUGCUGCUUGGGGAGUACGUCCGCAAGGAUGAAACUUAAAGGAAUUGGCGGGGGAGCACCACAACGGGAGGAGCGUGCGGUUCAAUUGGAUUCAACGCCGGACAACUCACCAGGAGCGACGGUUACAUGAAGGCCAAGCUGAAGACUUUGCCGGAUUAGCUGAGAGGUGGUGCAUGGCGUAGUCGUGU
rnacentral:rRNA from 1 species